UCUCAACUCAGGCAAAUUUCAGGGCUGCUGCUGCUGCUGCUGCUUUGGACCAACCAGCACUACAGACACAGAAUUAAAUGCAGAGAGAACCACAGUUUAUUGAUACAUGCCUGGAGUGAUCUUGCAAGCCUGUAA
rnacentral:lncRNA from 1 species